AAAAAGUUGCCGAGGACGAUAUCUUAAACAAGAGAUCUUGUGUUAGUGGAGAGAUCUCAAGUUUAAGUCUACCCAAAACAUUUAGUAGGAAAGGAAAGAAGAAAAAUGAGCCCUCCCAGGAUGAUAAGGGAAGUGUUAAUGAUGAACCUUCGAGUCCGGAAAUUAUAGACGAUACUGGAGUAGCUGACCAACAUAGGCACAUGGAGAGGACAGAUAACGGUUUCUCGACCAAAGAUUCUGUGUCAAUUACAACCGGUAAUAUAACUUCUAAAACUUCUAGUGCCGGUGUAUGCNUUUAAAAUACGUGUAAAAAAAUCAAAGUUAAAAUGAGACGGAGGGAGUAUGUUUUUUCUAUAAAUGAAGAUAAGUAGUAGUAAUAUGUUUAGGAAUGAGAUCGCCGAGUUAGAGCCGAAUUCCGGGUUGCACAUAAAAAGACGAACACAAAUAAUGAUUGCAAUACAUGUGUGUAUAUAUAAUAUUUACUAUUCCCUGUAUCCAAGAAGUCAGCAGGAUAUACAUACAUAAAUACAUAUACACACAGCGGUAACCCUAACUACCGACUAACAGAUUUCUCUUCCAAUCUGUUGAUGCCUGCUGCUCGACGACUUUUAGUUACGGCGUCGUUUAAUUCACACCUGGUAAUUGAAUCUCUGGUCUCUUUUCGCUCUGUUAAUCCACUGAAUUACAGCUAUCAUUGCAAUACUAACGAUCAAUUAUUGUUGUUGUGUGUGUAUUAGAUUAUUGACUUGCAAAUUUUGAUUUUUAAGUUAUAUUUGGGGUUGACAAUGUGCAUUUUGUACGUUUUUAGGGCUAGUCGUUCACUAAGUUUGAGUUUUUUGUAUGAAUUUGUGUACAAGUAGUGUUUAAUUGGUAAUUGGAGUUUUGAUAAAUCUGUUUUGUUUACUUGAAUUUGAGGUGUUCUAUGCACCGUAUGUUGGUAACUUGUAGGUUUAGGAUUUCGGGAUGUAAAUUGUGCACAGAAUGCACGAUUUAAUUGAUUUUGUUUGGAGAUACAGGCUUGUCAAUUGUGAUGCUUUGAGGAUUUUGGUAGCACGAUAAAGGGUUGACAUGGCUAGCGAGAUGGUUAUGGGUGAGGAAAAUGUUAGUGUUUCAGGAGAGGGAGGUUUAGUUGCGGAUCGUGAAUGUGGUGUUGAGAAUUUAUCAGUUUCAAUGCAGUCAUGUGAACCCUUUUGUACAGCUCAAGUUGACUCCUUGGAGAGUUUCGUGGGUGCUUCUGAUACAGUAGGGGCUAAUGCUAUUUCCGGUGCCCUUGAUAAUAUUAGUAUAGCAGAGUCCUCAAGAGAAAAGCAGGAGGAGAAAGAUACUGUUGGUAGUCAGGAUUUUGCUUCUGAGAGUACAGUUCAUGAUGCUAUUUGUUCGUCACUUCGUGCAAGAAAUAGCACUAUUAAUGGGCCACUGUUGAAAACUGAUACUGCAAGGCCUUUGAGAAAGUGCAAGAUGAUAUCUAAUAAAAAAGUUUUUCCGGGUAUUGAGAUAUUAGAGCUUGCAAGGAGGAGGAGGAGUUGUUUCUCCAAUAGACCUCGUGUAUCUGAUUGGGGAUCACUAGAAACUAUUGGACACGUUUUUAAUGUGUUUGAAGAUGCUAAUUUGGAUCAAAUUGAGCAGAAAGAAUCAAGAAAAUGUAGUGGUAGUAAGGGAGAGACUAAACGAAAGAAUAAUCGGAGACGCACAAAUUCUCUCGGGACUAAAAAAGAAAUUCCUGCUUCAACUGGUGGCAUCCGUUUGACAGUCACAUUUGGCGAUAUCAUUCCCGGUGUUGUUGAUGAUCAUAAAAGUUCUUCUGGUAUGCAGAUUAUAUCUCCUAAAUAUAAUAAAGAUUUUGAGAAGAAGUUUGAGGAAGGGACUUCUGGUACCCUUGAUGGUCAUGGCGGAAUUGGUGCCCAGACACAGGUUGGUCUAUCGGAAGAAGCAGUAGGAAGCAGGUGCUUAGAUCCUGGGACUUCACCUGAUUCAGAAGUUAUAAACCUAAUUGCGGAGAGCCAAACUGAUGAAAAAGUUGCCGAGGACGAUAUCUUAAACAAGAGAUCUUGUGUUAGUGGAGAGAUCUCAAGUUUAAGUCUACCCAAAACAUUUAGUAGGAAAGGAAAGAAGAAAAAUGAGCCCUCCCAGGAUGAUAAGGGAAGUGUUAAUGAUGAACCUUCGAGUCCGGAAAUUAUAGACGAUACUGGAGUAGCUGACCAACAUAGGCACAUGGAGAGGACAGAUAACGGUUUCUCGACCAAAGAUUCUGUGUCAAUUACAACCGGUAAUAUAACUUCUAAAACUUCUAGUGCCGGUGUAUGCUUU
rnacentral:lncRNA from 1 species